rnacentral:rRNA from 1 species
AUACGGAGGAUCCGAGCGUUAUCCGGAUUUAUUGGGUUUAAAGGGAGCGUAGAUGGAUGUUUAAGUCAGUUGUGAAAGUUUGCGGCUCAACCGUAAAAUUGCAGUUGAUACUGGUUUCCUUGAGUACGGUACAGGUGGGCGGAAUUCGUGGUGUAGCGGUGAAAUGCUUAGAUAUCACGAAGAACUCCGAUCGCGAAGGCAGCUCACCGGGCCGGAACUGACACUGAUGCUCGAAAGUGCGGGUAUCAAACAGGAUUAGAUACCCUGGUAGUCCGCACAGUAAACGAUGAAUACUCGCUGUUUGCGAUACACGGUAAGCGGCCAAGCGAAAGCGUUAAGUAUUCCACCUGGGGAGUACGCCGGCAACGGUGAAACUCAAAUGAAUUGGCGGGG